UCCACAGCAGCCCCAAGGUCCUGCUCCACAGCAGCCCCAAGGUCCUGCUCCACAGCAGCCCCAAGGUCCUGCUCCACAGCAGCCCCAAGCUCGGCAGCAACAGCUGGCACAAAACAAAGCUGAAGCUCCUCCUCAAGUUCAAAUUCAAGUUCAAAGCCAAACUCCACAGACACAACCUCAAGUUCAGGCUUCACCAAAGCCACAAUCCUCACCACCGGAGCAGACCCCACAGUCAGCUCCUUGGGUCAAAGCACCAGCACUGGCCCAGGCUCCUCCUCAGGCUUACACGGAGGCUUACGCUAAAGCACAAGCCCUGGCCAGGAACAGGUUCGAGGAGGCCAAGCAUUGUCUGCAAGAACAUAUUCUAGAAGCGAUCAACGUAUUCAAGGACAAGAAGAUAACUGACGAGCAGGCAUUGGUCAAAGAAGAAACCUUAAAAGGCCUGGACGCUGAGCUUCUGGAUCAGUUCCUGCGAGCUGCUGAAGGAAUGGAGGCCUUCUGCACCCCGUCUCAGCUCCGGGACAUGGAGUUCUUUGCUCAGUCUGUCAGAACACAGUGGGAGGCCUGUUUUUCUGCUGAUGGCAGUUUAGUUGUGGCUGGGCAUAAGUUGGAAGCUCUGAAGGAUCUUUGUGAUACCCUGAGCCCAGAGGAUGCCCACAGGCUGGCACAAGCUCAGCUCCGCGAGUGUGAGAAAAGACUCGCUGCCAUCCAGCGGCAGUUCAGCGGAGACCAGGACACUCCAAUGCCGGGUGCUGGAAGUGUUCUUGUGGAACAGAUGAAAGAGUCUUCACCACAGAAAAUAUCCACAGCUUCUGUGGAGAAAGCUUCAGAAACGACCAGUCCAGAGGCUUCUCCAGUCUCAACCCAGAGGCCCAAACCCACGGAUAAGAAGGAGAUAAUAAAGCAGACGAGUACAGAGGAGGACAGGUACAUCAGCUAGUUUGCUAGUUUUAUAUUAGUUUUCCUGGCACCACUUUAAAAUAAG
rnacentral:lncRNA from 1 species